GUCGGAUUAGCUAGUUGGUGAGGUAAUGGCUCACCAAGGCAGCGAUCCGUAGCUGGUCUGAGAGGAUGAUCAGCCACAUCGGGACUGAGACACGGCCCGAACUCCUACGGGAGGCAGCAGUGGGGAAUAUUGGACAAUGGGGGCAACCCUGAUCCAGCCAUGCCGCGUGUGUGAAGAAGGCCCUCGGGUUGUAAAGCACUUUCAGCGAGGAAGAACGCCUAGUGGUUAAUACCCAUUAGGAAAGACAUCACUCGCAGAAGAAGCACCGGCUAACUCCGUGCCAGCAGCCGCGGUAAUACGGAGGGUGCAAGCGUUAAUCGGAAUUACUGGGCGUGAAGCGCGCGUAGGUGGCUUGAUAAGCCGGUUGUGAAAGCCCCGGGCUCAACCUGGGAACGGCAUCCGGAACUGUCAGGCUAGAGUGCAGGAGAGGAAGGUAGAAUUCCCGGUGUAGCGGUGAAAUGCGUAGAGAUCGGGAGGAAUACCAGUGGCGAAGGCGGCCUUCUGGACUGACACUGACACUGAGGUGCGAAAGCGUGGGUAGCAAACAGGAUUAGAUACCCUGGUAGUCCACGCCGUAAACGAUGUCGACCAGCCGUUGGGUGCCUAGCGCACUUUGUGGCGAAGUUAACGCGAUAAGUCGACCGCCUGGGGAGUACGGCCGCAAGGUUAAAACUCAAAUGAAUUGACGGGGGCCCGCACAAGCGGUGGAGCAUGUGGUUUAAUUCGAUGCAACGCGAAGAACCUUACCUACCCUUGACAUCGACAGAAGCCGAGAGAGAUCUUGGUGUGCCUUCGGGAACUGUCAGACAGGUGCUGCAUGGCUGUCGUCAGCUCGUGUUGUGAAAUGUUGGGUUAAGUCCCGUAACGAGCGCAACCCUUGUCCUUAUUUGCCAGCGCGUAAUGGCGGGAACUCUAAGGAGACUGCCGGUGACAAACCGGAGGAAGGUGGGGACGACGUCAAGUCAUCAUGGCCCUUACGGGUAGGGCUACACACGUGCUACAAUGGCCGGUACAAAGGGCAGCGAGCUCGCGAGAGUCAGCGAAUCCCUUAAAGCCGGUCUCAGUCCGGAUCGGAGUCUGCAACUCGACUCCGGAAGUCGGAAUCGCUAGUAAUCGGAAUCAGAA
rnacentral:rRNA from 1 species